rnacentral:rRNA from 1 species
AUUGAACGCUGGCGGCAGGCUUAACACAUGCAAGUCGAGCGAGCGGCGGACGGGUGAGUAAUGUCUGGGAAACUGCCUGAUGGAGGGGGAUAACUACUGGAAACGGUAGCUAAUACCGCAUACCAUCAGAUGUGCCCAGAUGGGAUGAGCUAGUAGGUGGGGUAAUGGCCCACCUAGGCGACGAUCCCUAGCUGGUCUGAGAGGAUGACCGGCGCCACGGGAGCGGGGACGCGGUCCAGACUCCUACGUGAGGCAGCAGUGGGGAAUAUUGCACAAUGGGCGCUAGCCUGAUGCAGCCAGGCCGCGUGGGUGAAGAAGGCCUUCGGGUUGUAAAGCACUUUCAGCGAGGAGGCGUUACUCGCAGAAGAAGCACCGGCUAACUCCGUGCCAGCAGCCGCGGUAAUAC